CGGGGACACCGGGCCGUUCUCGCGUGCCUCUCUCCACGCACAAAGCCGACAUCCAACUUUGCUAACUUAGUCGGCUCCCGCCCAGCCGGCCCCCGCAGCACCGUCACGGUGAAAACAUGUUGAUACCAGAAACUCAAUUUCCAAGGCGGUGCAAGGGUUCGAAAGCACAAAGGCAGACACACUGUCGACCCGCGCGCUAGCUAGCAAGUUGCGGUACUCCGGGGCGGCGGCGCGGGGCCCGCGUCCAGUUCAGAUCUCCUGUGUUCCCUUUCAAACCUCUGAUGAAGGCAACUGGGUGAAGCUUUGGGGGAAAAGAAAAAUCAAAACCCAGUACAGAACUUUUUCUGGACCUGUUCCCUUUCAACACUCUUUGGAGAUGUCAGCGAAAGUUCUCUGGAGCACAUCAUUCCGUAAACAUGGGCAUCUCCAAGGGAUGAAGAUUCUGUUGCUCCAUUCUGUGCAAGGCAGUUGGCUAAGAAAAUUGUGACGUUUUCCAGUUUAACAAGUCAAAUACAAAACUCAGGGGACUUCAUAAGCCUCAUGAUGGAGCUCUGAAUAGCAUCCCAUUAUUGAUUGGAAAUACUGCAUUGGAAUGCCGCGGAAGAGCCCCAAACCAAAACUUUUCAGAUGCCUGAAGCUGUGAGCUUUCCAAUUAGGCUGAAAGUUUCCCUUGAUAACCAGUAGUGCUGAAGCUUUUAAUAUUGUUUUGGCCUAUCAGUUCUUAGCACGAUUUUCUAGUUAUGAAGGCCAGCGGAUCACUCGGUGUCAGCGAGAUAGCUCAUCCAUUCCACUUGCAUGCUUUCUGAUCAAAUAUGCUAUCUGAAAAAAAAGGAAUCUUCGGCUUCACGUAAACCGAUCAUAAUUGGGAGCAGUUCGUCUUUCCCUUCUUCAAUGCUAUCUCCUCCUGUGCAGCCUAUUUUGCAUCCAGAGAUACAUUUGAAAGUCGAAAUCCCUUCAAGCUAAAUAUUCUAAACUGACAGAAGAAUUUCUAGUGGCACACCAGCCUGGAGCCAUGUUUUUAUGAGGACAUCACUUUCUAUUUCUAAGCUUCAGUGUGCACUCUUGCUUCCUUAUUGCUGGGAGCCAUGCCACAUCAACUUGCCUCCUUCUCAGCUUUUAAUGUUUUUUUAAUGGAGUCCAGUUUUCCGCCUAAGUUAUGGCUAGCCUUCUGACAAACCAUCAGACACCUAAGCAACCAGAAUGGAGGUGUCCAGAUGUGACAUGGUGGGGUAAACUUGCAUGCUAUUGAAUAAAACCAUAUUUUAAGAAUUCCUUUAUACCUGGCCUCUGAAUGUGCCAUGAAGGCUAAAAGGGGCUUAAGAAAAACGUUUUAAAAAUUAAUAUGUGACCUGAAGUCUUUUCUUGUACGCCACUAGCAAAGGCAAUCAUUUCUCAAUCUGACUGGCGUGGUGAGUGUGUUGCCUGAACAGUGAAAUAGCAGCACAGCUGAAUUUUUUUUUUUUUUCCUCAAGUUUAAAAUUGCUCACGGAGCUCUGAGGUUAGUUAUCUAAUGAAAUAAAAGCAAGCGUGCUUUGCAUGUACCUGGUCGUUUAGAAGAACUUAAAUAAUUGUAAAGUACAAAAUGAUGAAUCAUUGCGAUGCAAAUUCAUCAAGGACAGUGGUAUUUCUGUGAUAAAGGAAGACAUCUAUGUUCUUGAAAGUCAGCAAUCUAUACAACUUGGAAGACAUCUGCAGAACGUUUGGUAAUUAAAUAUGCCCUCACCUGAGAAAUAAUGCCUGGAGUUGUCCUGCUGGGCUUUCAAGAGGACAGUGGAAGGUAUGUGGAUGAUGGGCAAUGACUGGAUUGUGAACCAUGUAUGGAAAAGCCAUAACCCGUGGCUUUGAUGUCAAGAAGCCACAGCCCACCAAUCCAAUGAUGUCAGCAUGAUGGAAAAAAAGGAUGAGAGAAGAAGAACCUGGAACAAGGGAGAAGGGAGGAAGAAGGAUGGAGAUGAGGAACAUGGCCAACCUGGGUUCUCAUUUGUAACUAGGAGUAAAGGCUUGCCUUCAGAAGCUUGCAUGUCAUAUUUAACUGGUGCCUUCCUAUAACAUCUUGACUUAAUAAAGAGACUAGCAAAAGGAAAAGAGAAGAAAAAUGAAAGACAAAAAUCCGCAGCAGGACAAUAAAAAGUUUCCUCUUCACACCCACCGCCGUGGGGGUUUUUCCUUUGUGCCUCAUGGCUUAUCCCACUGAAACGCAUCAAUUUUUGCUAUUAUGCUGGAAAUGCCCGAAAAACAUUUGAAGCUUCCCAGCCACCCCUUGGGGGUGAGAACGUUUCACAAUGUGUCUCCAGGGAAGGCUAGGGGGCCAGGUUUGGGUAGAGAGGAGGCUUUCUCCCCUUCACAGGGGAACAAAGGACAGAACCUCAGAGUUCUUGACCCAAUGUGUGACCUCGGGCCCAAGGCAAAACAUUUUAUCUCUGGGUCCUAGUGACAUAAGCUCUCUGAGCUCUGUGAUUGUGCUCUAGGAGGUGACCAAAAACCUUUGAUGGAAUUACUGCCUCCUCUCUCUCUCUGCCCGGCCACUUAUUAUUCUGUAUAUUUUCGAGAGCUGUGGGAAACUUUCAUAACCAAAGCCUAAGCCAGGCGAAAACUUGUUCUAUUUGGAAUUUGUAAUGAAGUCAAAACAUGGCCUGGAUUUUCUGAAAGGCUCCUUUGGCUGCCUGAGACAGCCCCAGGGCACAAUCAGACAGGGAUGGAGCAGGCCUGGGAGCAGAUUUCGUUACCAAGAAUAGGACACAACAAUAUUUGCCUCCAAAACACCACGGCUGCUAUUUACCUUCUCAGCUGGAAGAAGUGAGAGAUAAAUGCAGAUUUCAUAUAAAGCGCAAAUACCAAUUCUUUCAUUUCUAAUUUGGGGGAUUUUCCCCCCCUCCCUGAGCUCCCUCUAAACAAAAGGUUAGGGAGAGUUUUUAGCAUAUUUGAUUUCCUGACCUAAGGGAAGAAAUUCUUUAUUUCAGAACUUUUGACCCCCAAAGAGCUCUUACUUUUGCUUGAAAGCCUGAAUAAAAAUGGUUAGACG
ensembl:lncRNA